AGCGAACGUUUGCGGCGGGCCUAACACAUGCAAGUCGAACGCACUAGCAAUAGUGAGUGGCGCACGGGUGCGUAACACGUGGGUAAUCAACCCUUCAGCCUGGGAUAACGACUCGAAAGGGUCGCUAAUACCGGAUACGGCGCGAGAGGCUUCGGCUUCUCACGAGAAAGCCACGCAAGGGGCACUGAAGGACGAGCCUGCAGCCCAUCAGCUAGUUGGUGAGGUAAGAGCUCACCAAGGCUAAGACGGGUAGCUGGUCUGAGAGGAUGAUCAGCCACACUGGAACUGAGACACGGUCCGGACUCCUACGGGAGGCAGCAGUGGGGAAUAUUGCGCAAUGGGCGAAAGCCUGACGCAGCCACGCCGCGUGAGCGAUGAAGGCC
rnacentral:rRNA from 1 species